AUUGAACGCUGGCGGCAGGCCUAACACAUGCAAGUCGAGCGGAUGAAGGGAGCUUGCUCCUGGAUUCAGCGGCGGACGGGUGAGUAAUGCCUAGGAAUCUGCCUGGUAGUGGGGGAUAACGUCCGGAAACGGGCGCUAAUACCGCAUACGUCCUGAGGGAGAAAGUGGGGGAUCUUUGGACCUCACGCUAUCAGAUGAGCCUAGGUCGGAUUAGCUAGUUGGUGGGGUAAAGGCCUACCAAGGCGACGAUCCGUAACUGGUCUGAGAGGAUGAUCAGUCACACUGGAACUGAGACACGGUCCAGACUCCCACGGGAGGCAGCAGUGGGGAAUAUUGGACAAUGGGCGAAAGCCUGAUCCAGCCAUGCCGCGUGUGUGAAGAAGGUCUUCGGAUUGUAAAGCACUUUAAGUUGGGAGGAAGGGCAGUAAGUUAAUACCUUGCUGUUUUGACGUUACCAACAGAAUAAGCACCGGCUAACUUCGUG
rnacentral:rRNA from 1 species